rnacentral:rRNA from 1 species
UCUGGCUCAGGACGAACGCUGGCGGCGUGCUUAACACAUGCAAGUCGAACGAUGAUGCCCAGCUUGCUGGGCGGAUUAGUGGCGAACGGGUGAGUAAUACGUGAGUAACCUGCCCUUGACUCUGGGAUAAGCCUGGGAAACUGGGUCUAAUACUGGAUACUACCUCUUACCGCAUGGUGGGUGGUGGAAAGGGUUUUACUGGUUUUGGAUGGGCUCACGGCCUAUCAGCUUGUUGGUGGGGUAAUGGCUCACCAAGGCGACGACGGGUAGCCGGCCUGAGAGGGUGACCGGCCACACUGGGACUGAGACACGGCCCAGACUCCUACGGGAGGCAGCAGUGGGGAAUAUUGCACAAUGGGCGGAAGCCUGAUGCAGCGACGCCGCGUGAGGGAUGACGGCCUUCGGGUUGUAAACCUCUUUCAGUAGGGAAGAAGCGAGAGUGACGGUACCUGCAGAAGAAGCGCCGGCUAACUACGUGCCAGCAGCCGCGGUAAUACGUAGGGCGCAAGCGUUGUCCGGAAUUAUUGGGCGUAAAGAGCUCGUAGGCGGUUUGUCGCGUCUGCUGUGAAAGCCCGGGGCUCAACCCCGGGUCUGCAGUGGGUACGGGCAGACUAGAGUGCAGUAGGGGAGACUGGAAUUCCUGGUGUAGCGGUGAAAUGCGCAGAUAUCAGGAGGAACACCGAUGGCGAAGGCAGGUCUCUGGGCUGUUACUGACGCUGAGGAGCGAAAGCAUGGGGAGCGAACAGGAUUAGAUACCCUGGUAGUCCAUGCCGUAAACGUUGGGCACUAGGUGUGGGGGACAUUCCACGUUUUCCGCGCCGUAGCUAACGCAUUAAGUGCCCCGCCUGGGGAGUACGGCCGCAAGGCUAAAACUCAAAGGAAUUGACGGGGGCCCGCACAAGCGGCGGAGCAUGCGGAUUAAUUCGAUGCAACGCGAAGAACCUUACCAAGGCUUGACAUUCACCGGACCGCCUCAGAGAUGGGGUUUCCCUUCGGGGCUGGUGGACAGGUGGUGCAUGGUUGUCGUCAGCUCGUGUCGUGAGAUGUUGGGUUAAGUCCCGCAACGAGCGCAACCCUCGUUCUAUGUUGCCAGCACGUGAUGGUGGGGACUCAUAGGAGACUGCCGGGGUCAACUCGGAGGAAGGUGGGGAUGACGUCAAAUCAUCAUGCCCCUUAUGUCUUGGGCUUCACGCAUGCUACAAUGGCCGGUACAAAGGGUUGCGAUACUGUGAGGUGGAGCUAAUCCCAAAAAGCCGGUCUCAGUUCGGAUUGAGGUCUGCAACUCGACCUCAUGAAGUCGGAGUCGCUAGUAAUCGCAGAUCAGCAACGCUGCGGUGAAUACGUUCCCGGGCCUUGUACACACCGCCCGUCAAGUCACGAAAGUUGGUAACACCCGAAGCCGGUGGCCUAACCCCUUGUGGGAGGGAGCCGUCGAAGGUGGGACUGGCGAUUGGGACUAAGUCGUAACAGG